CUCCGUAGGUGAACCUGCGGANGGAUCAUUACAAGAACGCCCGGGCUUCGGCCUGGUUAUUCAUAACCCUUUGUUGUCCGACUCUGUUGCCUCCGGGGCGACCCUGCCUUCGGGCGGGGGCUCCGGGUGGACACUUCAAACUCUUGCGUAACUUUGCAGUCUGAGUAAACUUAAUUAAUAAAUUAAAACUUCUAACAACGGAUCUCUUGGUUCUGGCAUCGAUGAAGAACGCAGCGAAAUGCGAUAAGUAAUGUGAAUUGCAGAAUUCAGUGAAUCAUCGAAUCUUUGAACGCACAUUGCGCCCCCUGGUAUUCCGGGGGGCAUGCCUGUUCGAGCGUCAUUUCACCACUCAAGCCUCGCUUGGUAUUGGGCAACGCGGUCCGCCGCGUGCCUCAAAUCGUCCGGCUGGGUCUUCUGUCCCCUAAGCGUUGUGGAAACUAUUCGCUAAAGGGUGUUCGGGAGGCUACGCCGUAAAACAACCCCAUUUCUAAGGUUGACCUCGGAUCAGGUAGGGAUACCCGCUGAACUUAAGCAUAUCA
rnacentral:rRNA from 1 species